UGGAACAAUGUAGGCAAGGGAAGUCGGCAAAACGGAUCCGUAACUUCGGGAAAAGGAUUGGCUCUGAGAGCUGGGCUCGGGGGUCCCGGCCCCGAACCCGUCGGCUGCCGGCGGACUGCUCGAGCUGCUCGCGCGGCGAGAGCGGGCCGCCGCGUGCCAGCCGGGGGACGGAUCGGGAACGGCCCCCUCGGGGGCCUUCCCCGGGCGUCGAACAGCCGACUCAUAACUGGUACGGACAAGGGGAAUCCGACUGUUUAAUUAAAACAAAGCAUUGCGAUGGUCCUCGCGGAUGCUGACGCAAUGUGAUUUCUGCCUAGUGCUCUGAAUGUCAAAGUGAAGAAAUUCAACCAAGCGCGGGUAAACGGCGGGAGUAACUAUGACUCUCUUAAGGUAGCCAAAUGCCUCGUCAUCUAAUUAGUGCGAUCUUUUUUUUUUUGCGAUUUUUCCUUGUUAUUUUCUA
rnacentral:rRNA from 1 species